AUUAACACUGGGUUUGAGUCAAUUCAACGGCUCUCUGCGAGGAAUACAUUACUGUUCUUCCCGAAGAGAGGGCUGAAAUCCAUGAAAGCUUAUAGCUUGAUCAAUUUCUCUUCUAUAAACCGUUUUUAGCGUUUGGACCAAACAUCUUCUUGGGCACCUUGGAAAAAUCCACAUGAAAUCGCUGAGCUAGCUAUGAAGUUUGCUAAUUGCAAAAUCCUUCGGCUACGAAAUUAAGAAACACACUUUAAGGAUUGAAACUGGGCAGUCAUUAUUAAGCUUAUAGUUAAGGGUUAGUCUAAUUCUCAGAUUGUAGUGCCAAGAAACUUGCUCUUUUGGCCACGCUAGUAAUCCCCAGCUAGGGAGGAAGAAGGGCUCGAUGGAAGGAAAUCCCUCUUGGAGUGUCUUUGAUGGAAUUAAAACUAUCCCAUCAACUCCAGAAGCUCUCAUGGCAGAGAUUGACACAGCUAUUAAAAAUUUGGAAUAUGCUCGUGCAACUGCACGCCUUGAUCCUCCAUCUACUUCCCACUUAAAGACUAAGAGCCCCAGGGGGGGUGCAUCUCCUCAAUAUGAUGCCCGAAUGGCAGACGAGGCUUAUAGGGCAGGAUGUGCAGCAUUAGCUGCAGGGAAGCUUGAUGAAGCUCUUCACUCCUUGAACAUUUCUCUUUUGAAAUGUCCUCCUGAUAAGACCUCCGCUGUUGCCAAGCUUCAGUCUCUCAUUUCUUUAACAUCACAGCAACUCCAGAAAUUGCCCAGUUGACUUAAUAGAGGUAUGCUUAGUCCUUUCAGUGCUUGUAUAUCUUAGUUUUCAAUUGAUGAUUACCUAAUGCAGUUAGCAUGCCAUGCUCAUGUUAUGGCCUUGACACAAAAAUUUGUAGCUGCCAUAUGUUUCUUUCUGUUAUCAAGUAGUUGUUCCUAAAUUUUUGUUCAAUAAGUAAAUAUGUCCUGAGGUUUUUGUUGUAACUCAAGAUUACUUCUUCUGUUCAUAGACUUUUCACAGUAUGGUAAAAAGUUGUGGUAGAGAUUUCAUCUGUUUGACAGAAUUUAAUUGAAGUUUGUGAACUUUAAAAAAAAAAAAUGCUGAAACAUCAAAAAAUUGAGAAUUGAUGAAUAUGAGCGGUAACUUGGAAAGAGAACAAACAGGCAAGGACAAUGCCCACUGCUGCAGCUAAACCUUUUCUAGAAGGUUGAUAUACUUCAAUUUUGGUAUUAGAGAUCAGCCUUAGCUCCCCCAUUAUGUUCUCAAGUGAUUUGCUUUUCAAUGUUGGAUUUUACUAUGGCAUGUAUGUGACAAUAAUGUAGUCAGGUGACCUUUUUCUGAUGUUUCUAUUGACAAAAGUUAUUAUAUAGUGUAUUCUGAGUGGGAAUAUAAAUGCUUUUGGUUGAGUUUGAGUUGGCUUUCACUUUCUCUGGUUAGAAAUAAUGUCAAAAGAACCAACUAAAAGCCAAUGAAGUUUAUCGUUUCAACAUUUCUGAAGAUUCUUCAGUAUGCUAUUUCUAGCACUUAGGUUAGGAUGAUGCAAACAGUUCUUUUUUGUCAACUCUUUUUGUUCUUAAUGCCUGGUUUGUAAGAGGGAUAAAAAAGUGAGAGUAUGAAAAUAGUUGGAUAGAUUUUAUUUAUUUUUGGUUUAUUUGGCUCUUACUAGGACUAGAAUUCAAGAUCUUAUGGCUCUAGAGAUGACUUUAGUACCAUGGGGAUAAAA
rnacentral:misc_RNA from 1 species